GAUGAACGCUGGCGGCGUGCCUAAUACAUGCAAGUCGAACGCUUUGUCUUUAAUUGAUUUGACGAGCUUGCUCUGAUUUGAUUUUAUCUGACAAAGAGUGGCGAACGGGUGAGUAACACGUGGGUAACCUACCUCUUAGCAGGGGAUAACAUUUGGAAACAAGUGCUAAUACCGUAUAAUACCAACAACCGCAUGGUUGUUGGUUGAAAGAUGGUUCUGCUAUCACUAAGAGAUGGACCCGCGGUGCAUUAGCUAGUUGGUAAGGUAAUGGCUUACCAAGGCAAUGAUGCAUAGCCGAGUUGAGAGACUGAUCGGCCACAAUGGGACUGAGACACGGCCCAUACUCCUACGGGAGGCAGCAGUAGGGAAUCUUCCACAAUGGGCGCAAGCCUGAUGGAGCAACGCCGCGUGUGUGAUGAAGGGUUUCGGCUCGUAAAACACUGUUAUAAGAGAAGAACGGCACUGAGAGUAACUGUUCAGUGUGUGACGGUAUCUUACCAGAAAGGAACGGCUAAAUACGUGCCAGCCGCCGCAGUAAUAC
rnacentral:rRNA from 1 species